GGCAGCAUAGCACAGCGGUAAGGAACAGGGCUCGUAACCGAAAGGUUGCUGGUUCGAUUCCCCGCUGGUGCAU